rnacentral:tRNA from 1 species
GCCUGUGUGGCUCAGUGGAUAGAGCAUCGGCCUGAGGACCGAAGGGUCCCAGGUUUGAUUCCGGUCAAGGGCA